UAAAACAAUUUUCACGUCGACUGUUCUAUUUUCCAUUUUCAUUUUGAAAGUCAAUUAGGUAAAUGGAAAGAUGAAUAGAAGCUAAAAUUAAGCUAGUAAAAUAAACCAUUGAAAUAAAAUAACCGUCACUUGCUUUAACAACCCCUGCAAUGAAAUUUAUCUACUAAACUUACCCUAUGUCGCCCAAACCCUAAAUUGAAAAAAACAAUUAGAACUAGGUAUAUGAAUUUUGCUGCCAAAAUAUUAAAUUAUAUAAUUUAUCAAACCGACCGUGAAAAAAUAAAUUUUAGUGCGCCCAUGACAUGCCAAGCUCAAACAGCAAUGCUCAAUGACAUCUGAAUUUGACAAGUCAGUUAAAUUCAGAUGUCAAUGUCAACCCAACAAAACAAUAACAUAAUUCACCUGGAGAAAUUAUUAUUUUUUAACUAAUAUUUAUUGGAAAACUUCAACACAAAUUAUUUGCUAAAUAAAACUGAUGAAAAUCUCAUAACUUCAUUCAAGUUCGCAUAUAUUUUGCCAGUGUGGCCUUUGUUUUGUGUACUUAGAAUGAUUACAAGGAGAAGAAUUGCAUGUUUUAACUGCUGAUUAGACUACACAACCAGAAAUAAAUAAGCUAAAUGAAGUAUGUUAGGAUACCCAGAGAUCAUGAAAUGUGUUUGAUAGGGCUCAGACCAUGCACUUAAGGACAUCCGUCAAGAAAUCAUUGAGAUAUUGAUGAAAUUGGGAAACCAGGAAGAACUGCCUGUCUUUACUGUUGGUUAGAGUACACAGCCAGAAAUAAAUAAGCUACAGGAAGUAUGUUAGGAUUCCCCAGAGAUCAUGAAAUGUGUUUGAAGGGAUAUGAAUCAGCUUUUUUGUUAUCUUGAAUAGGCAAAAUGGCACGAGAAUCUUCCAACUGGACCCAAAGUCUCUAUUUUUGGUUAGAAAAUAAAACUUAUUUAAUGUUUAUGUUCCAUGACCUGUUUAUUGUUUUAUUAAAUUUUGUCAUACAGUUAUUUAGUUUUAAUAAUUAAAGAGAAAAUUGAUCUAUAGUA